rnacentral:rRNA from 1 species
UACGUAGGGGGCAAGCGUUGUCCGGAUUUAUUGGGCGUAAAGAGCUCGUAGGCGGUGUGUCACGUCGUUCGUGAAAACCUGCAGCUUAACUGUGGGCGUGCGGUCGAUACGGGCAUCACUGGAGUUCGGCAGGGGAGACUGGAAUUCCUGGUGUAGCGGUGAAAUGCGUAGAUAUCGGAAGGAACACCGGUGGCGAAAGCGGCGCGCUGGAUCUCUUCUGACGCUGAGGCGCGAAAGCCAGGGGAGCAAACGGG